GAUGAACGCUAGCUACAGGCUUAACACAUGCAAGUCGAGGGGCAGCAUUUUAGUUUGCUUGCAAACUGAAGAUGGCGACCGGCGCACGGGUGAGUAACACGUAUCCAACCUACCGAUAACUCCGGAAUAGCCUUUCGAAAGAAAGAUUAAUACCGGAUAGCAUACGAAUAUCGCAUGAUAUUUUUAUUAAAGAAUUUCGGUUAUCGAUGGGGAUGCGUUCCAUUAGUUUGUUGGCGGGGUAACGGCCCACCAAGACUACGAUGGAUAGGGGUUCUGAGAGGAAGGUCCCCCACAUUGGAACUGAGACACGGUCCAAACUCCUACGGGAGGCAGCAGUGAGGAAUAUUGGUCAAUGGGCGAGAGCCUGAACCAGCCAAGUAGCGUGAAGGAUGAAGGCUCUAUGGGUCGUAAACUUCUUUUAUAUGGGAAUAAAGUUUUCCACGUGUGGAAUUUUGUAUGUACCAUAUGAAUAAGGAUCGGCUAACUCCGUGCCAGCAGCCGCGGUAAUACGGAGGAUCCGAGCGUUAUCCGGAUUUAUUGGGUUUAAAGGGAGCGUAGGUGGAUUGUUAAGUCAGUUGUGAAAGUUUGCGGCUCAACCGUAAAAUUGCAGUUGAAACUGGCAGUCUUGAGUACAGUAGAGGUGGGCGGAAUUCGUGGUGUAGCGGUGAAAUGCUUAGAUAUCACGAAGAACUCCGAUUGCGAAGGCAGCUCACUAGACUGUCACUGACACUGAUGCUCGAAAGUGUGGGUAUCAAACAGGAUUAGAUACCCUGGUAGUCCACACAGUAAACGAUGAAUACUCGCUGUUUGCGAUAUACAGUAAGCGGCCAAGCGAAAGCAUUAAGUAUUCCACCUGGGGAGUACGCCGGCAACGGUGAAACUCAAAGGAAUUGACGGGGGCCCGCACAAGCGGAGGAACAUGUGGUUUAAUUCGAUGAUACGCGAGGAACCUUACCCGGGCUUAAAUUGCAACAGAAUAUAUUGGAAACAGUAUAGCCGUAAGGCUGUUGUGAAGGUGCUGCAUGGUUGUCGUCAGCUCGUGCCGUGAGGUGUCGGCUUAAGUGCCAUAACGAGCGCAACCCUUAUCUUUAGUUACUAACAGGUUAUGCUGAGGACUCUAGAGAGACUGCCGUCGUAAGAUGUGAGGAAGGUGGGGAUGACGUCAAAUCAGCACGGCCCUUACGUCCGGGGCUACACACGUGUUACAAUGGGGGGUACAGAAGGCGGCUACCUGGUGACAGGAUGCUAAUCCCAAAAACCUCUCUCAGUUCGGAUCGAAGUCUGCAACCCGACUUCGUGAAGCUGGAUUCGCUAGUAAUCGCGCAUCAGCCAUGGCGCGGUGAAUACGUUCCCGGGCCUUGUACACACCGCCCGUCAAGCCAUGAAAGCCGGGGGUACAUGAAGUACGUAACCGCAAGGAGCGUCCUAGGGU
rnacentral:rRNA from 1 species